CAGCAGCCGCGGUAAAACGUAGGGUGCGAGCGUUAAUCGGAAUUACUGGGCGUAGAGCGUGCGCAGGCGGUUCGUUAAGACAGAUGUGAAAUCCCCGGGCUUAACCUGGGAACUGCAUUUGUGACUGGCGAGCUAGAGUAUGGCAGAGGGGGGUAGAAUUCCACGUGUAGCAGUGAAAUGCGUAGAGAUGUGGAGGAAUACCGAUGGCGAAGGCAGCCCCCUGGGCCAAUACUGACGCUCAUGCACGAAAGCGUGGGGAGCAAACAGGAUUAGAUACCCCCGUAGUCCCUGUCUCUUAUAA
rnacentral:rRNA from 1 species